AGGACGAACGCUGGCGGCGUGCUUAACACAUGCAAGUCGAGCGAGGCCCUUCCUUCGGGAAGGUGCCCUAGCGGCGAACGGGUGAGUAACACGUGGGCAACCUGCCCCUAGCACUGGGGAUAACUCCGGGAAACCGGGGCUAAUACCGGAUAUGACCUCCGAGGGCAUCCUUGGUGGUGUAAAGGAUUCUGGCUAGGGAUGGGCCCGCGGCCUAUCAGCUUGUUGGUGGGGUAAUGGCCUACCAAGGCGACGACGGGU
rnacentral:rRNA from 1 species